rnacentral:lncRNA from 1 species
AUAGCCAUUGUUUUUAUUACUUUUUAGGUGUUACUUUCAGUGAAACAGUGAUCUUACUAUAAUUUUAACUGGCAUAAGAUUCUUCUUUUUUAGUGGGAGAAUAGGUGUGAACAGGCUGUGUAGGUCGAGCCGACAGAUCACUUGAGCCCAGGAUUUUGAGACCAGCCUGGGCAACAUGGCAAAACCACAUCUCUACUAAAAAUGCAAAAAUUAGCCAGCUGCAUUGGCGUUUUUCUCUUAUAUUCUAAACAUAUAUACAUUUUAAAAAGUUAUUUGACUUCUUUUUACAUUGCUUCAUUGAAUAUCUUUCUUAAUAAGUUCACACUGACCCGCCACCAUGCCUGGCUAAUUUUUUGUAUUUUUAGUAGAGAUGGGGUUUCACUGUGUUAGCCAGGAUGGUCUCGAUCUCCUGACUUCUGAAGUUGCUUAUCAGCUUAAGGAGAUUUUGGGCUGAGACAAUGGGGUUUUUAUUUUUAUUUAUUUAUUUUUGAGACGGAGUUUCUCUCUUAUUGGUUGCCCAGGCUGGAGUGCAAUGGUGUGAUCUUGGCUCACUGCAACCUCUGCCCCCCGGGUUCAAGUGAUUCUCCUGCCUUGGCCUCCCAAGUAGCUGGGAUUACAGGCGUGAUUACAGGUGUGAGCCACCACACCUGGCCUCAUUGUUUUUUAAUGAGAGGCAAUAAUAUCUGGAGAUUCCCUGUCCUUAGAAUGUUUUCCAUAGUC